UUUCCGUAGGUGAACCUGCGGAAGGAUCAUUAAUAAAAAUGUCCUUUGACAAACUUUGCGCCGGUCCGCCGGACAGAGUUCAACCUUUUGUGAAUCAACACCUUUUUUCGCUUCGGCAGCCGGUUGGGCCUUGUGUCCGGCUGUCAGCCUGCCGGCAGCACCAAUUUAAACUUGCAUUUAAGAAUUAUGUCUGAAACCAUUCUAAAUCUGAAUGAAAAUUAAAACUUUCAACAACGGAUCUCUUGGUUCUCGCAUCGAUGAAGAACGCAGCGAAACGCGAUAGUUAAUGUGAAUUGCAGAAUUCAGUGAAUCAUCGAGUCUUUGAACGCACAUUGCGCCCAUUGGUAUUCCGAUGGGCACGUCUGUUUGAGCGUCAUUGCGACCCCUCAGCUAAGCUUUUGCAGCGCUGGUGUUGGGCUCGGGCAUCCUUAGUUGGAACCCGGCCUUAAAGUUGCACGCUCUGCGGACCCUCCCGCCUCCAGAACAUAGUAUGACUGCUAGCUGUUUGAAAGGUGUGUUGGGCUUCCGCCUGAACAAACUCUCAACUAAGGUUUGACCUCAGAUCAGACGAGGAUACCCGCUGAACUUAAGCAUAUCAAUAAGCGGAGGAAAAGAAACCAACAGGGAUUGCCUCAGUAACGGCGAGUGAAGCGGCAAGAGCUCAAAUUUGAAAUCUGGCGUCUUUGGUGCCCGAGUUGUAAUUUGAAGAGGAUGCCUCGGUUGUAGCCCCGGCCUAAGUUUCUUGGAACAGGACGUCGCAGAGGGUGAGAAUCCCGUACGCGGCUGAAGGCUUACUUCCAUGUGUGGCUCCCUCGAAGAGUCGAGUUGUUUGGGAAUGCAGCUCAAAAUGGGUGGUAAAUUUCAUCUAAAGCUAAAUACUGGCGAGAGACCGAUAGCGCACAAGUAGAGUGAUCGAAAGAUGAAAAGCACUUUGAAAAGAGAGUUAAACAGUACGUGAAAUUGUUGAAAGGGAAGCGCUUGCAAUCAGACUCGCUUUCGGUUGAUCAACGUUCCUUUUGGUUCGUGCACUCUUCCGUUUGCGGGCCAGCAUCGGUUAGGACGGCGGGACAAAGGCUCCGGGAAUGUGGCCCUUCGGGGUGUUAUAGCCCGGUGCGCAAUGCCGCCUGCCCUGACCGAGGUCCGCGCUUCUGCUAGGAUGCUGGCUUAAUGGUUGUAAGCGACCCGUCUUGAAACACGGACCAAGGAGUCUAACAUCUAUGCGAGUUUUUGGGUGUAAAACCCAUGAGCGCAAUGAAAGUGAACGGAGGUGGGAGCCUUAGGGUGCACCAUCGACCGAUCCUGAUGUUCUCGGAUGGAUUUGAGUAUGAGCAUAGCUGUUGGGACCCGAAAGAUGGUGAACUAUGCCUGAAUAGGGUGAAGCCAGAGGAAACUCUGGUGGAGGCUCGCAGCGGUUCUGACGUGCAAAUCGAUCGUCAAAUUUGGGUAUAGGGGCGAAAGACUAAUCGAACCAUCUAGUAGCUGGUUCCUGCCGA
rnacentral:rRNA from 1 species